UAUGAACGCUAGCGGCAGGCUUAAUACAUGCAAGUCGAGGGACAGCACAGGUAGCAAUACUGGGUGGUAACCGGCAAACGGGUGCGGAACACGUACACAACCUUCCUUUAAGUGGGGGAUAGCCCAGAGAAAUUUGGAUUAAUACCCCGUAAUAUAGUUGAAUGGCAUCAUUUGAUUAUUAUAGCUACGGCGCUUAAUGAUGGGUGUGCGGCUGAUUAGAUAGUUGGCGGGGUAACGGCCCACCAAGUCUACGAUCAGUAGCUGAUGUGAGAGCAUGAUCAGCCACACGGGCACUGAGACACGGGCCCGACUCCUACGGGAGGCAGCGGUAAGGAAUAUUGGUCAAUGGACGCAAGUCUGAACCAGCCAUGCCGCGUGAAGGAUUAAGGUCCUCUGGAUUGUAAACUUCUUUUAUUUGGGACGAAAAAGGGCCUUUCUAGGUCAACUGACGGUACCAGAUGAAUAAGCACCGGCUAACUCCGUGCCAGCCGCCGCCGUAAUAC
rnacentral:rRNA from 1 species